AAGACCCUAGUAAAGUAGAUAUUACACCUCCUUGUCGAGGAGGAGUCGUGGGUUAAACCCCCACGUGUCUUA
rnacentral:tRNA from 1 species